rnacentral:rRNA from 1 species
GGAUUAGUGGCGAACGGGUGAGUAACACGUGAGUAACCUGCCCCUGACUCUGGGAUAAGCGUUGGAAACGACGUCUAAUACUGGAUAUGACUGCCGGCCGCAUGGUCUGGUGGUGGAAAGAUUUUUUGGUUGGGGAUGGACUCGCGGCCUAUCAGCUUGUUGGUGAGGUAAUGGCUCACCAAGGCGACGACGGGUAGCCGGCCUGAGAGGGUGACCGGCCACACUGGGACUGAGACACGGCCCAGACUCCUACGGGAGGCAGCAGUGGGGAAUAUUGCACAAUGGGCGAAAGCCUGAUGCAGCAACGCCGCGUGAGGGAUGACGGCCUUCGGGUUGUAAACCUCUUUUAGUAGGGAAGAAGCGAAAGUGACGGUACCUGCAGAAAAAGCACCGGCUAACUACGUGCCAGCAGCCGCGGUAAUACGUAGGGUGCAAGCGUUGUCCGGAAUUAUUGGGCGUAAAGAGCUCGUAGGCGGUUUGUCGCGUCUGCUGUUAAAUCCCGAGGCUCAACCUCGGGCUUGCAGUGGGUACGGGCAGACUAGAGUGCGGUAGGGGAGAUUGGAAUUCCUGGUGUAGCGGUGGAAUGCGCAGAUAUCASGAGGAACACCGAUGGCGAAGGCAGAUCUCUGGGCCGUAACUGACGCUGAGGAG